GUGAGACCUCUCAAGCCACAUGGAACUUUACAGGUUUGUGUGAGGCCCAACUUUCUUCAUCUACUUCAACCAAAACAAUGUAUCAUCUCAGACUGGGUGCAGAAGCAGCUAUGGAACCACAGCUGUUUUCUAUUAAGCCAGACAUUAAAGCAACUUAUAAAAAUGUGAAACGAUGCCACUCUUCUCACUAAUAUUUUCAUUGAAAGUAUCUUAUUUA
rnacentral:lncRNA from 1 species